AGUAAUGUAUCUUUAAAGAUUUAAAUUGUAAAUUUAAAUAAAGAUUAAAUUCUCUUUACUA
rnacentral:tRNA from 1 species